GACGAACGCCGGCGGCGUGCUUAACACAUGCAAGUCGAACGGAAAGGCCCUGCUUUUGUGGGGUGCUCGAGUGGCGAACGGGUGAGUAACACGUGAGUAACCUGCCCUUGACUUUGGGAUAACUUCAGGAAACUGGGGCUAAUACCGGAUAGGAGCUCCUGCUGCAUGGUGGGGGUUGGAAGGUUUCGGCGGUUGGGGAUGGACUCGCGGCUUAUCAGCUUGUUGGUGGGGUAGUGGCUUACCAAGGCUUUGACGGGUAGCCGGCCUGAGAGGGUGACCGGCCACAUUGGGACUGAGAUACGGCCCAGACUCCUACGGGAGGCAGCAGUGGGGAAUAUUGCACAAUGGGCGGAAGCCUGAUGCAGCAACGCCGCGUGCGGGAUGACGGCCUUCGGGUUGUAAACCGCUUUCGCCUGUGACGAAGCGUGAGUGACGGUAAUGGGUAAAGAAGCACCGGCUAACUACGUG
rnacentral:rRNA from 1 species